rnacentral:rRNA from 1 species
GACGAACGCUGGCGGCGUGCUUAACACAUGCAAGUCGAACGGUGAAGCGCCUUCCUUUUUGGUGGGUGUGGAUGAGUGGCGAACGGGUGAGUAACACGUGAGUAACCUGCCCCCUUCUUCUGGAUAACCGCAUGAAAGUGUGGCUAAUACGGGAUAUUCUGGGUCUGUCGCAUGAUGGGUCUGGGAAAGAUAUUGUUUCGGUGGGGGAUGGGCUCGCGGCCUAUCAGCUUGUUGGUGGGGUGAUGGCCUACCAAGGCGGUGACGGGUAGCCGGCCUGAGAGGGUGGACGGUCACACUGGGACUGAGACACGGCCCAGACUCCUACGGGAGGCAGCAGUGGGGAAUAGUGCACAAUGGGAGCAAGGCUGAUGCAGCGACGCCGCGUGAGGGAUGGAGGCCUUCGGGUUGUGAACCUCUUUCGCCAGUGAAGCAGGCCUGCCUCGUUUGUGGGUGGGUUGACGGUAGCUGGAUAAGAAGCGCCGGCUAACUACGUG